CGGGCAACGCGGAAACAGCCGCGACGGGCGGCCCCGCACGUCCUCCCGCCCCCGGGGGCCGCCGUUUCCAGGGCGCGGAGCAGCGAGCAGCGAGCAACGCCGCGGUGUUUUACGGGCUUGGAGGACAGAGGCGCCCCGCCGGUGUCCCCCCGCCGCCCCGCCCGCACACUCAGGCCGGGGGAAAACACGAGGCCGUGGGCUGCUGGAGCAGGCUUCGUUMUUACUAUAAUUAAUUACUAUGAUCAUCGCCGUCGUCAUUAUUUAGGCUUCCCCCCGUCGGAGAUUUCCCGAAGAAAGAGCCCGAAGGGUCAGGAUCAAGCAGGAGCCCCCCAAGCCCAGGCUGGCAUGACCGAGGAGUUCCAUCCGUCCSGGGAACGGGGAGGCGGCGGGAAUCGAGCGGCCCCCUCGGUACCGGAGCUGAGCCGCCGCCCUCCCCGCCGGCCCGGGCGUAAGUAGGGCUGGGUGCUGCCCCUGAGCCGCGCUCUAAGGCUGGGAGUUUGUGASACCCCGGCUUUUGUGGGUAAAUCAGUUCCUACCCAUCCUAAUUGCAGAGAAACUUUUUGAGACCGGAGCUCGAAGACAAAACUCCAAAGCAAGGCGCGUAGCUCAGUCAAAAUCAAUAGCGGCGUGAACUCGUCUGGUGGACCUUGGUGACAUCGGCUGGCAAAGCCUUGCUGCUCUUUGGAGUUGUGUUUGACGUGGCACAAUGGAACGCUAACCUGACCUCAUCUGCUCAGAUACCUCCCUGUCCUUUGGGAAAACAGAGUUGUGCAAUGCAGCCUGUCCUAAUAACUCCUGGCAAAUGCAGGCCAACCUUUUCUGUCCAGCAGUCACAGCUGGUGAAGCAGAAGGACUCAGCUCACUUCAGUUUGAAAAUACUUCAAGGAGAAAUCACACUGUAAGGAGUUCAAAACCAAUUCAGUUGAAAGAAGACRCUUUGUUUUCAAAAUAAAGAUGUUCUUGAAGAAGUGGUGCCAUGCACACCCUGGUCUGUCUCCUGUCCAAGAAACAGAAGUGAAUGAGCACAGUUAAAGUGAACAGAACAUUUUUGCUGCUYUACAUUACCCUCUUCCCAACAGCAGUAAGUCGAUCACUGUCCACUCAUCCCAUUGGAUUUGUUGCUUUGAUUUCUGGUAGUUAUUGUCCCUCUUCACUCCAUACUACUAUUUCCUAAUCAGAUAAGCAGUGCUACCCAGACCCUUUCCACCAAGCAUUUAAUUUCCAAAUCUAAGGACAACUCAACAAGAUCAAGAUUGGCCAGACCAGUCUUWGAGAACCAACAUUUUGAGCCUAUAGUUGCCUUGUGAAUUAUUAAUCAGGCUGGAGACACAAGGAGGAGCAAUUUAACAACCAGGGAGGAUUAAUGAAUUAAUGAACUGUGCAAGAGUUUUAAGAGCAAUGGAUUAAUUUUUGUUGUGAAUAUUGAAUGGAUUCAGUGACUGAAAGAAGCUAAAUUACCUCAAAGACCUAUUUCAAGAGAAAUUCUCUCUUCUUUCCAGUUUUCCUUUUUUACCCAUUAUCCUUGAAGAUUGCAUUUAAUUUCACUUAAUUUUAUAUGCUGUUUCCUAGUUAUCCUGCUAAAUGAAUUAAAAAUGGCAUUUCUUAUUUCUCCCACGAGAAGGAUGCAUUCAUUCCCCAACAGAAGUCACCUCCUUCUCACUCCGAGAACAAAAAGUUUAUCUUGGCCAAAWACAGAGUAUUUUUAUUUAAAUGUGAAGCCUGUCUAAUUUUCAAAUUUGAAGAUUAAUGACUCUGUGUAAUAUUCUAUGUCUCCUUCCUGCCAUAUGUUCGGGGGGGUGUCUUAUCACCAUGGUUUACAACCAAACCCAUGUAGUCAUCAUUUCUUGAUUCAUACUGCAGAACAGAAAGACCCAAAAAGUUUUGGCACUCUAUGCAAAAGCUGAAACAAUAUGCAAAUUGCCUUCUAUAUUUUUCACAUUUAAGUGCAGUGGGUAAAAGCAGUGAGGUGGUCACCUUUCAGUAUGUUCUGCAGAGAGCUCUAAUGCUCCAGGCAGCCAGUGAAGUCUCAGUGAAGUUUAUUUGAGAUAYCAUGUCUUCAAACUGAUCCAAUUUUUGCUGUUUGCUUGAUUUAAUGGAUGGUGCSGUUUCUUGUCUGGACUUUUUGCCUAAAACAAAAAUCCAGGUAUUCACAAAGGUUUGCCUGCUCCCUAACAUGUUCCUUAACAAAGCAGCAUCUUUAGGAAGUAGUUAAUCUGAGUGCAACAUGCUAGCAGGCAGAAUACAAAGACACAAGCUCUAAAGAUUAAAUUAAUUUUUCUUCCCAUCAUGACAAUCAGCAGCUGAUUUCAUGUGAAUAAUUUGUACAGRUAAAGAGCCAACUCCUACUGGCAGAGCUUUUAUCCAAAAUUCUUUUCAAACUUUCAGGCUUGAAAAAAAAUGGAGGAAAUUUCACAUUUUCCCCAGUUGUUUGGAUAAAAUUGUAUUUAUGGAAAUUAGAACUGUUUUAAAUUCACAAAAAUUCACAGAUUUUUGUUCUUUCCAAGUAGCAUUUUUAAUAUUUCUUUUGAAAAUACUUCUCUUACCAGGGAACGUGGGUUUGG